rnacentral:rRNA from 1 species
CACGGGGUUAGCCGAUGCUUUUUCUUCGGAUACACGCAGUCCGGGACACGUCCCGGGUUUUGUUCUCCGACAAAAGAGGUUUACAACCCAUAGGGCCGUCUUCCCUCACGCGGCUUGGCUGGUUCAGGAUCUCUCCCAUUGACCAAUAUUCCUCACUGCUGCCUCCCGUAGGAGUCUGGUCCGUGUCUCAGUACCAGUGUGGGGGACCUUCCUCUCAGAACCCCUACGCAUCGUCGCCACGGUGGGCCGUUACCCCGCCGUCAAGCUAAUGCGCCGCAUGCCCAUCCUCUUCCGAUGAAUCUUUCCUCGAUCUCGGAUGCCCGAAACCGAUAUACGCGGGAUUAGCCUCCCUUUCGGAAGGUUGUCCCCCUGAAGAGGGCAGGUUGCAUACGUGUUACUCACCCGUGCGCCGGUCGCCGGCAAGGAAAGCAAGCUUCCCUCCCGAUGCCCCUCGACUUGCAUGUGUUAAGCCUGCCGCUAGCGUUCAUCCUGAGCCAGGAUCAAACUC